rnacentral:tRNA from 1 species
GUUUUUAUAGUUUAUUAAAACAUUUUAUUUUCAUUAAAAAGAUGGGUUUUCUCUUUAAAUA